CUGAAGAAUAUGGAAAUCCUGAGCGGAAAUACUGUGACCUUAAGAAAUCACAGCCAUCGGCACCGACAUGACAUCAGGACCUCCUCACUCCCCCGCUGCCUGAACACGAUGUGUGACCACAGCUCCACGUUCCGUCACCACCAUGGGAGGAACGUCUUUACGCCAAAGAAACCAACCCAAUAACUACCGAUACACAGAACAGCACAGAUGACAUCAGAGGAAUGACUACUGCUGAGCACUUCCUUCUGAGGAAAUAACUCCGGGGAGCCGCGGACAAUAGACUUACAGUGCGAGGAGGACAGUCUCAGAUAAAGAUAUGUAUCUGAGGAACAGCGAGGUCCCUGCCCUGACUAUUCAUGGGAUCGAAGUGGACUGCAUGUGUUAUAUUCACGGUCCCAGAGACAGAGGUUCAGAAGGAAGAAAAGCACUUCAGCUGCAAGAAUUACGAUUUGCCCUUGUCCGAUAGCUAUGAAUGCCUAAAGCGCCAGAAUGUCGUCCUUGUGACCUUGCUGUGGACCAUCUCUGCAAUGUUGACCGAUUUGAAAAGUCCAAGUUGAUAGGAGUCCGUCUCUCUCCUUUCAGGAAAAAACUCUAAGAGGGUCAUUUACUAACAAAAAUUCUCCUAUUUUGGUGUAUUCCUGGUGCGGAAUGUAGGGCAAAGGUUAUUUGCGCUGUGAUCUGAAACUUUUCCCAGCUUAACGCCAGGUCUAAAAAAGUGGGCAUGGCAGGGAAGGGGACAGGCCCAUCUCAUGUAUCAUUUUCUUUGCCUGUUUUCAGCAUAAAAAAUUGUUUAAAUGUAAGACAGCAAGGAAGCUCACGUAGAUUUAGACCGGCGGUGGAUACGACAAAGUUAUGUAGAGGCCGGCGCUUCUUCAUAACUUCAGCAGAUCCAUCGCCAGUGUACGGGGUUAUUAAGACCCAUGUCAAAUGCCAGUCUUAAUAAGUGACCCCCUAAAUGUUGCCAGGUGCAUCGACCCUAGUCAGAAUAUCAAUCUGAUGGAGAAUUCAAGAUAAAGUGUUUCCCUCUUCUGAAAAGGAGGGGAUUAUUCUUUCUGGGGAAUAGGAAAAAAAAUUGUUGAUGUCCAUCUGGUCAGGGGACUCAAGUUUCCACCUCAAGGGGACCUAGGGACUUAAAAUAUCCUGGAAAUGAUUCUUACUAAGCAAUUUAGCUCAGAUUUCAUAUGGGAAGCCUCUCAAUCCUAAACAGGUCCAGCUCUGCCUAUGUGGGAAGCUAAGAAGAGCGGGGCUAUGCUCUGGAUGGGGGACUAGUGCCUCCACUCGGCAGGAGCUCUGCUUGAGAAAGUAAGCUUGUCUUGAAGUUCUAAAAGGCCAGAAAGUCAUCGGCUCGUUUUUCUUCUGUGGAAGUGUAUCUCAUCAGAUCCUUCUUCUGCAUAAAGUGAAUCAUCUACUAAGGCGAUUGUGCCUGCCCUCACUGCAGUGAACAAGUACACAGGUUCACUCCUAAAAAAUACAAGGUAGUGGGCUCCCCAAAAGUUGACACAGCUCUGAGCAGACUAUUAAGGAAUCUACUGUACCUGC